rnacentral:rRNA from 1 species
AGAACGAACGCUGGCGGCAUGCCUAACACAUGCAAGUCGAACGCUCUUGGGGCUUCGGUUCCAAGGGAGUGGCGCACGGGUGAGUAGCGCGUGGGAACCUGCCCUGGAGUGGGGGGAUAACCGAGGGAAACUUCGGCUAAUACCGCAUGCGCCCGGGAAACCGGGGAAAGAUUUAUCGCUCUAGGAGGGGCCCGCGUCGGAUUAGCUAGUUGGUGGGGUAACGGCCUACCAAGGCUUUGAUCCGUAGCUGGUCUGAGAGGAUGAUCAGCCACACUGGGACUGAGACACGGCCCAGACUCCUACGGGAGGCAGCAGUGGGGAAUAUUGGACAAUGGGCGCAAGCCUGAUCCAGCAAUGCCGCGUGAGUGAUGAAGGCCUUCGGGUUGUAAAGCUCUUUCGCACGCGAGGAUGAUGACGCUAGCGUGAGAAGAAGCCCCGGCUAACUUCGUGCCAGCAGCCGC